rnacentral:rRNA from 1 species
GAUUCGUCACACUAUCAUUAACUGAAUCCAUAGGUUAAUGAGGCGAACCGGGGGAACUGAAACAUCUAAGUACCCCGAGGAAAAGAAAUCAACCGAGAUUCCCCCAGUAGCGGCGAGCGAACGGGGAGGAGCCCAGAGCCUGAAUCAGCAUGUGUGUUAGUGGAAGCGUCUGGAAAGGCGCGCGAUACAGGGUGACAGCCCCGUACACAAAAGCGCAUGUGCUGUGAGCUCGAUGAGUAGGGCGGGACACGUGGUAUCCUGUCUGAAUAUGGGGGGACCAUCCUCCAAGGCUAAAUACUCCUGACUGACCGAUAGUGAACCAGUACCGUGAGGGAAAGGCGAAAAGAACCCCGGCGAGGGGAGUGAAAAAGAACCUGAAACCGUGUACGUACAAGCAGUGGGAGCACCCUUCGGGGUGUGACUGCGUACCUUUUGUAUAAUGGGUCAGCGACUUAUAUUCUGUAGCAAGGUUAACCGUAUAGGGGAGCCGGAGGGAAACCGAGUCUUAAUUGGGCGUUAAGUUGCAGGGUAUAGACCCGAAACCCGGUGAUCUAGCCAUGGGCAGGUUGAAGGUUGGGUAACACUAACUGGAGGACCGAACCGACUAAUGUUGAAAAAUUAGCGGAUGACCUGUGGCUGGGGGUGAAAGGCCAAUCAAACCGGGAGAUAGCUGGUUCUCCCCGAAAGCUAUUUAGGUAGCGCCUCGUGAAUUCAUCUCCGGGGGUAGAGCACUGUUUCGGCUAGGGGGCCAUCCCGGCUUACCAACCCGAUGCAAACUGCGAAUACCGGAGAAUGUUAUCACGGGAGACACACGGCGGGUGCUAACGUCCGUCGUGAAGAGGGAAACAACCCAGACCGCCAGCUAAGGUCCCAAAGUCAUGGUUAAGUGGGAAACGAUGUGGGAAGGCCCAGACAGCCAGGAUGUUGGCUUAGAAGCAGCCAUCAUUUAAAGAAAGCGUAAUAGCUCACUGGUCGAGUCGGCCUGCGCGGAAGAUGUAACGGGGCUAAACCAUGCACCGAAGCUGCGGCAGCGAACGUAUCACCCAAGACAACUUUACGGAGUUGACGAUUGACGGAGCGAAGCGACGUCAAAGCGUUCAUUAAAGUCGAGUUGGCUUAGGGAUACGUUCGUUGGGUAGGGGAGCGUUCUGUAAGCCUGUGAAGGUGUGUCGUGAGGCAUGCUGGAGGUAUCAGAAGUGCGAAUGCUGACAUAAGUAACGAUAAAGCGGGUGAAAAGCCCGCUCGCCGGAAGACCAAGGGUUCCUGUCCAACGUUAAUCGGGGCAGGGUGAGUCGACCCCUAAGGCGAGGCCGAAAGGCGUAGUCGAUGGGAAACGGGUUAAUAUUCCCGUACUUGGUGUUACUGCGAAGGGGGGACGGAGAAGGCUAUGUUGGCCGGGCGACGGUUGUCCCGGUUUAAGCGUGUAGGUGUGUGUUCCAGGUAAAUCCGGUUCACUUUAACACUGAGGCGUGACGACGAGGCACUACGGUGCUGAAGCAACAAAUGCCCUGCUUCCAGGAAAAGCCUCUAAGCAUCAGGUAACAC